rnacentral:rRNA from 1 species
AACGCGAAAGACCUUACCAGCUCUUGACAUUCGGGGUAUGGGCAUUGGAGACGAUGUCCUUCAGUUAGGCUGGCCCCAGAACAGGUGCUGCAUGGCUGUCGUCAGCUCGUGUCGUGAGAUGUUGGGUUAAGUCCCGCAACGAGCGCAACCCUCGCCCUUAGUUGCCAGCAUUUAGUUGGGCACUCUAAGGGGACUGCCGGUGAUAAGCCGAGAGGAAGGUGGGGAUGACGUCAAGUCCUCAUGGCCCUUACGGGCUGGGCUACACACGUGCUACAAUGGUGGUGACAGUGGGCAGCGAGACAGCGAUGUCGAGCUAAUCUCCAAACGCCUCUCAGUUCGGAUUGCACUCUGCAACUCGAGUGCAUGAAGUUGGAAUCGCUAGUAAUCGCAGAUCAGCAU